UGGGGAAUUUUGGACAAUGGACGAAAGUCUGAUCCAGCGACGCCGCGUGAAGGACGAAGGUUUUCGGAUCGUAAACUUCUUUUACAGGGGACGAAUACGCGCAAGCGUUUGACGGUACUCUGUGAAUAAGCCACGGCUAACUACGUGCCAGCAGCCGCGGUAAUACGUAGGUGGCGAGCGUUACUCGGAAUUACUAGGCGUAAAGCGCGUGUAGGCGGGAGCUUAAGUUCGCUGUUAAAUCUCAUAGCUCAACUAUGAAAUGCCGGCGAAUACUGGGCUUCUUGAAUUUGGUAGAGGAAACUGGAAUUCCAGGUGUAGCGGUGAAAUGCGUAGAUAUCUGGAAGAACGCCAAAGGCGAAGGCAGGUUUCUGGGCCGCAAUUGACGCUGAGACGCGAAAGCGAGGGGAGCAAACAGG
rnacentral:rRNA from 1 species